CCUACGGGUGGCAGCAGUGGGGAAUAUUGCACAAUGGGGGAAACCCUGAUGCAGCGACGCCGCGUGAGUGAAGAAGUAUUUCGGUAUGUAAAGCUCUAUCAGCAGGGAAGAAAUAGCGACCUUUGGGUCGCCAGACGGUACCUGAUUAAGAAGCCCCGGCUAACAACGUGCCAGCAGCCGCGGUAAUACGUAGGGGGCAAGCGUUAUCCGGAUUUACUGGGUGUAAAGGGGGCGUAGACGGCAGCGCAAGUCUGAUGUGAAAUGCCGGGGCUUAACCCCGGAACUGCAUUGGAAACUGUGCGGCUUGAGUGCAGGAGAGGUAAGUGGAAUUCCUGGUGUAGCGGUGAAAUGCGUAGAUAUUAGGAGGAACACCAGGGGCGAAGGCGGCUUACUGGACUGUAACUGACGUUGAGGCUCGAAAGCGUGGGGAGCAAACAGGAUUAGAUACCCCUGUAGUC
rnacentral:rRNA from 1 species